GUUGUACUCCCUCCGUUCGGAAUUACUUGUCGCGAAAAUGGAUGUAUCUAGACGUAUUUUAGUUCUAGAUACAUCCAUAUUCGAGACAAGUAAUUUCGAACAGAGGGAGUAGGUG
rnacentral:pre_miRNA from 1 species